rnacentral:rRNA from 1 species
CCUACGGGAGGCAGCAGUGGGGAAUAUUGCGCAAUGGGGGAAACCCUGACGCAGCGACGCCGCGUAAGCAAAGAAGGCCUUAGGGUCGUAAAGCUCUGUUUUAAGGGACGAAUGUCGUGAGGAAUAAUACGUCUCACGAAUGACGGUACCUUAAGAGGAAGCCCCGGCUAACUACAUGCCAGCAGCCGCGGUAA